rnacentral:rRNA from 1 species
GACAGAGGAGCCAAGCGUUGUCCGGAUUGACUGGGCGUAAAGCGCACGCAGGCGGGUGCGCGCGUGGGGUGUGAAACCUGGCCGCUUAACGGCCAGCGGCCGAUCCCAUACGGCGCGCCUGGAGCCUUGCAGAGGGCGGUGGAAUUGCCGGUGUAGUGGUGAAAUGCGCAGAUAUCAGGAGGAACACCAACGGCGAAGGCAGCUUGCUGGGACGGUACUGACGCUAAGGCGCGAAAGCGUGGGAGCGAACGA